rnacentral:rRNA from 1 species
UACAGAGGGGGCAUGCGUUGUUCGGAAUUACUGGGCGUAAAGGGCGCGUAGGCGGCCUGUUAAGUCGAACGUGAAAUCCCCGGGCUCAACCUGGGAACUGCGUCCGAAACUGGCAGGCUUGAAUCCGGGAAAGGGAUGUGGAAUUCCAGGUGUAGCGGUGAAAUGCGUAGAUAUCUGGAGGAACAUCGGUGGCGAAGGCGACAUCCUGGACCGGUAUUGACGCUGAGGCGCGAAAGCCAGGGGAGCAAACGGG